CAGCAGCCGCGGGAAUACGUAGGUCCCGAGCGUUGUCCGGAUUUAUUGGGCGUAAAGGGAGCGCAGGCGGUUUAGUAAGUCUGAAGUUAAAGGCUGUGGCUUAACCAUAGUACGCUUUGGAAACUGUUUAACUUGAGUGCAAGAGGGGAGAGUGGAAUUCCAUGUGUAGCGGUGAAAUGCGUAGAUAUAUGGAGGAACACCGGUGGCGAAAGCGGCUCUCUGGCUUGUAACUGACGCUGAGGCUCGAAAGCGUGGGGAGCAAACAGGAUUAGAUACCCCCGUAGUCCCUGUCUCUUAUACA
rnacentral:rRNA from 1 species